GUCCACACUGUAAACGAUGAUAGCUAGGUGUGGGGGUCUGACCCCUUCCGUGCCGGAGUUAACGCAAUAAGCUAUCCACCUGGGGAGUACGACCGCAAGGUUGAAACUCAAAGGAAUUGACGGGGCCCGCACAAGCAGUGGAUUAUGUGGUUUAAUUCGAAGCAACGCGAAGAACCUUACCAGGUCUUGACAUCCGACUAACGAGAUAGAGAUAUGUCAGGUGCCCUUGGGGAAAGUCGAGACAGGUGGUGCAUGGUUGUCGU
rnacentral:rRNA from 1 species